GUUAAUUUCUUUAAAAUCUGUGAAAUAAAGCAAAUUUGGUUUAAUUCUGAAUGUUCCCCUUUUUCACCCUAUAUAGGUUGCAUUUCUGUAAAUAUUGACAAUGCAAUUUCCCAUAGGAACUCCUUUUACGGCUAAAACUGUACCACUUUUACUAUGAAGUUUUGAAAAAAAUCUUAUCCUAGAAUUGAAAGUUCAUAUGCACCACAAUUUUUUUCAAAGGUCAAAAUAUAGGGCUGUGCGGCAUAUUUUCAACGUUUAUAUGCCCUGAACUUCUCAGAGUUUAAACUUACACUAAUUUUCUUAACUACCCCUACCUCGAAUGAAAGGUUACCACAG
rnacentral:lncRNA from 1 species